GAAGGUGAUGAUUGUUUUUUGUUGCCCCAGUCUUAGUUGUGUCCAUAGAUGCAACAUGGUGAUUGACAUGUCAUUUCUGAUUC
rfam:Ipomoea nil DNA, scaffold: scaffold0188, cultivar: Tokyo-kokei standard.